UAAGAAUCACUUCAGGAUAUGCAGAUAGAGUCCUGCACUGACUUGCCAAGCAGUAACUGAUUGGAAAUCUGUCUGUGACUGAUAACCAGGUUAGACAGCAACUAUCUGAUCAGUUAUGCCGGCUGAUGUCAGAGGCUGGUAAGCUCUUAAUGUACCUCAGCUGAACCCAGAACAGCAGAUGUGAUGACAGCCCACAGCAUCUAGUAGCUGUCUGUGUUUCUGGUGGCAGCCGGUUCUCUUUCAAGCAAACAUGGCAUGGAGGUAGGACUGGAUUUGGUGUUAAGAAGAAUGUGGCAAGGCUGGGACGGUAGGACACU
rnacentral:lncRNA from 1 species